rnacentral:rRNA from 1 species
GUAGGGUCCAAGCGUUAUCCGGAAUCACUGGGCGUAAAGCGUGUGUAGGCGGUGUGUUAAGUGAAAUGCGAAAUCUCGUGGCUCAACCAUGUAGACUGUAUUUCAUACUGGCAUACUUGAGGAUGGCAGAGGCAAGUGGAAUUGGUAGUGUAGCAGUGAAAUGCGUAGAUAUUACCAGGAACACCAAUGGCGAAGGCAGCUUGCUGGGCCAUAUCUGACGCUGAGACACGAAAGCGUGGGGAGCGAACAGGAUUAGAUACCCUGGUAGUCCACGCCGUAAACGAUGCAGGCUAUUAGUGUGGGGUAUCGACCCCCUGCGCUGAGAAGCUAACGCGAUAAGCCUGCCGCCUGGGGAGUACGAGCGCAAGCUUA